GGCUCUUUGAUUAUUAAGUAUAAAGAGUUUGGCCUGCCCAGUGAGAUUUUAACGGCCGCGGUACUCUGACCGUGCAAAGGUAGCAUAAUCAUUUGCCUUAUAAUUGAAGGCUAGUAUGAAAGGUUUAACGAAAGUUAGGCUGUCUUUUUUUGAAUAAAAUGAAAUUAAUCUGUAGGUGCAAAGGCCUAUAUUUAACUAAAAGACAAGAAGACCCUAUUGAGCUUUGUAAAGAUAUAGUAGAAUAAAACAUAUAAGCAAAAUUUUAAUCUACUUAAAUUUUUAGUUGGGGCGACUUAGGAAUAAAAAUAACUUCCUAGCAUUAAGAAUAUUUAUAGCUUUUUUAUCCUAAAAAUUUGGAUUGUCAGAAUUAGUUACCAUAGGGAUAACAGCAUAAUCUUUCUUAGGAGUUCUAAUCGAAAGAAAGGAUUGUGACCUCGAUGUUGGACUAGAAUAUCCUAAAGGUGCAGAAGUUUUUAAGGGUUAGUCUGUUCGACUAUUAAAAUUCUACAUGAUCUGAGUUCAGACCGGCGUAAGCCAGGUCAGUUUCUAUCUUUAGUUUUAAAAAUAGCCUCAGUACGAAAGGAUCAGGCUAAAGAAGUAAUAACUUUUCCUUAUGAUAUUUAUAAUGAAAAUUUUAAUAAUUAUAUGUA
rnacentral:rRNA from 1 species